CUCAUAUGGGACCAGGAAAUGGUGGUGGAUUCUCAUAUGGGACCAUAAGGACCAGGAGAUGGGUGGUGGGGACUCAUAUGGGACCAUAUGGGAGCUCACAUGGAACCAUAUGGACCGGGAGCUGAUGGUGGAUUCUCAUAUGGCACCAGCAGAUGGAGUUGGGGGCUCACAUGGGACCGUAUGGACCAGCAGAUGGUGGUGGGUUCUCAUAUGGGACCAUAAGGACCAGGAGAUGGUGGUGGGUUCUCAUAUGGGACCAUAUGGACCGGGAGCUGGUGAUGGGUUCUCCUACGGGACCAGCAGAUGGUGGUAGGGGCUCCCAUGGGAUCAUUUGAACUGGGAGUGGUGGUGGGUUCUCAUAUGGGACCAGAAGAUGGCGAUGGGAGCCAAUAUGGAACCGUAUGGACCAAGAGAUGGUGAGGGGAGUUUCGUAUGAGACUAUACGGACUGCAAGAUGGUGGUGGGGGCUCAUAUGGGACCAUAUGGACCAGGAGACGCUGGUGGAUUCCCAUUUGGGACCAGAAGGUGGUGGUGGGUUCCGUAUGGUUCCAGUAGCAGCAGGAGAUGGUGGUGGGGGCUCAUAUUGGACCGUAACGACCAGGAGAUGGUGGUGGGUGUCCAUAUGGGACCUGAAGGACCACGAGAUGCAGUGGGUUUUCAUAUGGGACCUUAAGGACCAGGAGAUGGUGGGGGGGGCUCAUAUGGGACCAUAUGGACCGGGAGAUGGUGGUGGAUUCCCAUUUGGGACCAGAAGGUGGUGGAGGGUUCCAUAUGGCUCCUGUAGCACCACGAGGUGGUGGAGGGGGGGCUCAUAUUGGACAACAAGGACCAGGAGAUGGUGGUGGGGGCUCAUAUGGGACCUUAAGGACCAGGAGAUGGUGGUGGGACCUCAUAGGGGACCU